rnacentral:rRNA from 1 species
UACAGAGGGUGCAAACGUUGCUCGGAAUUACUGGGCGUAAAGCGCGUGUAGGCGGACCACCAAGUCGGACGUGAAAGCCCUGAGCUCAACUCAGGAACUGCAUCCGAAACUGGCGGUCUGGAGUAGUGGAGAGGAAAGCAGAAUUCCUGGUGUAGAGGUGAAAUUCGUAGAUAUCAGGAGGAACACCGGUGGCGACGGCGGCUUUCUGGACACUUACUGACGCUGAGACGCGAAAGCGUGGGGAGCAAACAGG